AAUGUGAUAAAAGAAUAUAUGAACAUAUUGGGCUCUUUGUGACAAUUCAGCCCUGUGUGGGGCAAUGUUUCAUUUAAAUCAGGCAAGCUGGAUGCAGGAUUCCAG